rnacentral:rRNA from 1 species
AUACGUAGGGAGCGAGCGUUGUCCGGAAUUACCGGGUGUAAAGGGAGCGUAGGCGGGAGUGCAAGUCAGAUGUGAAAUACAUGGGCUCAACCCAUGGGCUGCAUUUGAAACUGCAUUUCUUGAGUGAAGUAGAGGUAAGCGGAAUUCCUGGUGUAGCGGUGAAAUGCGUAGAUAUCAGGAGGAACACCGGUGGCGAAGGCGGCUUACUGGGCUUUUACUGACGCUUAGGCUCGAAAGCGUGGGGAGCAAACAGGAUUAGAUACCCUGGUAGUCCACGCUGUAAACGAUGAUUACUAGGUGUGGGGGGACUGACCCCUUCCGUGCCGCAGUUAACACAAUAAGUAAGCCACCUGGGGAGUACGGCCGCAAGGUUGAAACUCAAAUGAAUUGACGGGG